rnacentral:rRNA from 1 species
AUUUUGGACUAUGGGGGAAACCCUGAUCCAGCCACCCCGCGUGUAUGAUGAAGGCCUUCGGGUUGUAAAUUACUUUUGGCAGAGAAGAAAAGGUAUCUCCUAAUACUAGAUACUGCUGACGGUAUCUGCAGAAUAAGCACCGGCUAACUACGUGCCAGCAGCCGCGGUAAUACGUAGAGUGCAAGCGUUAACCGGAAUUACUGGGCGUAAAGCGUGUAUAGGCGGUUCGGAAAGAAAGAUGUGAAAUCCCAGGGCUCAACCUUGGAACUGCAUUUCUAACUGCCGAGAUAGAGUAUGACAGAGGGGGGUAGAAUUCCACGUGUAGCAGUGAAAUGCGUAGAUAUGUGGAGGAAUACCGAUGGCGAAGGCAGCCCCCUGGGAUAAUACUGACGCUCAGACACGAAAGCGUGGGGAGCAAACA